AGGUCAGUAGCUCAAUUGGCAGAGCAUCGGUCUCCAAAACCGAGGGCUGGGGGUUCAAGUCCCUCCUGACCUGCCA
rnacentral:tRNA from 1 species